CAUUAACUCAGUGUAUUGGACAUCUAGCAGAUUGAGAGUUACAUUUAUUUCCCCUAUAUAAUCUGAAGGUGCUAUGGCAAUAUGAUCAGAAGAAAUCCAAGGAGAGAACCAAAGACAGUCAUGGAGCCAAUCAGAUUCUGGGAACCUACAUAGGAAGAAGAAACUCAAUAAAAGGAGCUGCAAAUAGCCCACAAGAGGACAAACAAAGGGAAAUGAAUGAUGAUAACGCAAUGUGAUCAAAGCUCCUUCAGAAGAGGAAGAAAAAGUCUGGGGCGCCCAAAAUCAGAGCUGGGUCCUACCCACUGAGCUGGGAGAAAUCUGUCCUGGGAGAUAAAAUUCAGCUACGAUGAUAACAUCAGCAGGUUUUUCCAAAUAAAGAAUCUGAGCCAGGGUCAUGGUAGGGACCAGGUAGGAGGAGGUGAAAAGAGAGGGGAUAGAUAAGAGAUUUAGAGAGGAAAAAGUGAUGGCUGAUUAAAUGUGUGAUGAGAGGUUAAAUGAGGAUUUCAAGACAAGUAUAGGAAAUGGAAUAAUUCCAUAAUAAUCUUCUAGAAAAUAAACUAGAAACUAGUCCCAAGUACUCAGCAUCCUGGACACAUUUAGUAAGGGGCAAAUAUCCAGAGGCAGUACUACACAUCUUGAGAUUAUCAGCAUGAUAGAAUAACUUUUG
rnacentral:lncRNA from 1 species